rnacentral:lncRNA from 1 species
GGAGAUUAUGUGAUGGUUCGGUCACACAUGACGUAGGUUAUUCGGCGUGUUGACAGACCCCAUAUGUGGCGUUGGAUGUUUCGGCAUAUGGGAAGAUUUUGUGAUUGUUAAGUCCCACGUGGCGUAGGUUAUCCGGUAUGAGGAUAGACCCCAUAUAUGGCGUUGGAUGUUACAGUGUGUGGGGGAGAUUAUGUGAUGGUUAGGUCACACGUGGCAUAGGUUAUCCGGUGUAUUGACAAACCUCAUACGUGGC